GUUGAAACACCGGUUUCCGUACGACCACCAAAGUUAAGUAACGUCGAGCUUGGCCAGUACCUAGACGGGUGACCGCCGGGGAAUACCUAGUGCUGUAAG